rnacentral:rRNA from 1 species
CUGGUCUUGACAUCCACGGAAGUUUUCAGAGAUGAGAAUGUGCCUUCGGGAACCGUGAGACAGGUGCUGCAUGGCUGUCGUCAGCUCGUGUUGUGAAAUGUUGGGUUAAGUCCCGCAACGAGCGCAACCCUUAUCCUUUGUUGCCAGCGGUCCGGCCGGGAACUCAAAGGAGACUGCCAGUGAUAAACUGGAGGAAGGUGGGGAUGACGUCAAGUCAUCAUGGCCCUUACGACCAGGGCUACACACGUGCUACAAUGGCGCAUACAAAGAGAAGCGACCUCGCGAGAGCAAGCGGACCUCAUAAAGUGCGUCGUAGUCCGGAUUGGAGUCUGCAACUCGACUCCAUGAAGUCGGAAUCGCUAGUAAUCGUGGAUCAGAAUGCCACGGUGAA